rnacentral:rRNA from 1 species
AACGAACGCUGGCGGCGUGUUUAAGACAUGCAAGUCGCACGGGAUAAGACAUGUAGUAAUACUUGUUUUAUUUAGUGGCGCACGGGUGAGUAACACGUGAAUUACAUGCCCUAUAGUGGGGAAUAGCCCAGGGAAACUUGGACUAAUACCCCAUGGUAUCGAAAGAUUAAAGGUGGCCGCAAGGCUGUCGCUAUAGGAUUGGUUCGCGCCCUAUCAGCUUGUUGGUGAGGUAACGGCUCACCAAGGCAAUGACGGGUACCUGGUCUGAGAGGACGAUCAGGCACACUGGAACUGAGACACGGUCCAGACACCUACGGGUGGCAGCAGUCGAGAAUAAUUCACAAUGGGGGCAACCCUGAUGGUGCAACGCCGCGUGGAGGAUGACGGUCUUCGGAUUGUAAACUCCUGCCAUCUGGGAGAAAGACCUGACGGUAAAUAGCCGGCAGGGUUGAUAGUACCAGAAGAGGAAGGGACGGCUAACUUCGUGCCAGCCGCCGCGGUAA